rnacentral:rRNA from 1 species
GACGAACGCUGGCGGCGUGCCUAACACAUGCAAGUCGAACGGAAAGGUCCUGCUUUUGUGCGGUGCUCGAGUGGCGAACGGGUGAGUAACACGUGAGUAAACCGUCCCUGACUGUGGGAGAACUUCAGGAAACUGGGGCUCAUACCGGAUAGGAGCUCUUGCUGCAUGGUGGGGGUUGGUAAGAUUCGGUGGUUGGGGCUGGACUCGCGGCGUAUCAGCUUGUUGGUGGGGUAGUGGCUUACCAAGGCUAUGACGGGUAGCCGGCCUGAGCGGGUGACCGGCCACAUUGGGCCUGAGAUGAGGCACAGCCUCCUACCGGACGGAACAGUGGGGAAGAUUGCACGAGGAGCGGAGCGCUAGUGCAGCAACGCCGCGUGCCGGAUGACGGCCUUCGUGUUGUAGACCAAUUUCGCCUGUAACGAAGCGUGAAUGACGGUAAUGGGUAAAGAAGCACCGGCUAACUACGUG